rnacentral:rRNA from 1 species
GUCCACGCCCUAAACGAUGUCGACUGGUUGUUGGGUGGGUAACCACUUAGUAACGAAGCUAACGCGUGAAGUCGACCGCCUGGGGAGUACGGUCGCAAGAUUAAAACUCAAAGGAAUUGACGGGGACCCGCACAAGCGGUGGAUGAUGUGGUUUAAUUCGAUGCAACGCGAAAAACCUUACCUACACUUGACAUGUCAGAGAUCCUGCAGAGAUGUGGGAGUGCCGCAAGGAAUCUGAACACAGGUGCUGCAUGGCUGUCGU